AAGCCAUGCGAGUCAAGGUGUCUUCGGACGCCGGCAAACGGCUCAGUAACCACGUAGGUAAUCUACCCUCAGGACUGAGAUAACCCCGGGAAACUGGGGCUAAUACCAGAUAGAUAAAAGAUACUGGAAUGUUCUUUUAUCCAAAGCUUUUGUGCCUGAGGAUGAGCCUGCGCCCGAUUAGGUAGUUGGUGGGGUAAUGGCCCACCAAGCCUGCGAUCGGUACGGGCAGUGGGAGCUGUAGCCCGGAGUUGGGGACUGAGACAAGGCCCCAGGCCCUACGGGGCGCAGCAGGCGCGAAACCUCUGCAAUGCGGGAAACCGUGACAGGGGGAUUCCAAGUGCUCAUGCAUUGCAUGGGCUGUUCUUUGGUCUAAGUAACCAGAGGAGUAAGGGCUGGGCAAGACCGGUGCCAGCCGCCGCGGUAAUACCGGCAGCUCGAGUGGUAGCCGCGAUUAUUGGGCCUAAAACGUUCGUAGCCGGAUAAGUAAGUCUUUGGUUAAAUCCUACGACUUAACCGUGGGAAAUCUAGAGAUACUGCUUGUCUUGAGACCGGGAGAGGUUGGAGGUACUCCCAGGGUAGGGGUGAAAUCCUGUAAUCCUGGGGGGACCACCUGUGGCGAAGGCGUCCAACUGGAACGGCUCUGACGGUGAGGGACGAAACCUAGGGGAGCGAGCCGGAUUAGAUACCCGGGUAGUCCUAGGCGUAAAUGAUGCGAGUUAAGUGUGGGGGCAUCUACGAGAUGGCCCUGUGCUGUAGGGUAGCCGUUAAACUCGCUGCCUGGGGAGUACGGUCGCAAGGCUGAAACUUAAAGGAAUUGGCGGGGGAGCACCACAAGAGGUGGAGGCUGCGGUUCAAUUGGAUUCAACGCCGGG
rnacentral:rRNA from 1 species